rnacentral:rRNA from 1 species
AACGAACGCUGGCGGCAUGCCUAACACAUGCAAGUCGAACGAGACCUUCGGGUCUAGUGGCGCACGGGUGCGUAACGCGUGGGAACCUGCCCUUAGGUUCGGAAUAACUCCCCGAAAGGGGUGCUAAUACCGGAUAAUGUCUUCGGACCAAAGAUUUAUCGCCUUUGGAUGGGCCCGCGUUGGAUUAGCUAGUUGGUAGGGUAAAAGCCUACCAAGGCGACGAUCCAUAGCUGGUCUGAGAGGAUGAUCAGCCACACUGGGACUGAGACACGGCCCAACCCCCUCCGGGAGGAGGAGGUGGGGAUUAUUGGCCAUGGGGCGAAAGCUUAUUCAGGCAUUGCCGCGUGAGUGAUGAAGGCUUUAGGGUUGUAAGGCUCUUUUACCCGGAAUGAUAUGACCAGUACCGGGGGAAAAGCUCCGGCUAACUCCGUG